rnacentral:rRNA from 1 species
GACGAACGCUGGCGGCGUGCUUAACACAUGCAAGUCGAACGGAAAGGCCUCUUUCGGGGGGUACUCGAGUGGCGAACGGGUGAGUAACACGUGAGUAACCUGCCCUUGACUUGGGGAUAACUGCAGGAAACUGGGGCUAAUACCGGAUAGGAGCUCCUGCUGCAUGGGGGGGGUUGGAAAGUUUCGGCGGUUGGGGAUGGACUCGCGGCUUAUCAGCUUGUUGGUGGGGUAGUGGCUUACCAAGGCCUUGACGGGGAGCCGGCCUGAGAGGGUGACCGGCGACAUUGGGACUGAGACACGGCCCAGACGCCUACGGGAAGCAGCGGCGGGGAAUAUUGCACAAUGGGUGGAAGCCUGAUGCAGCAACGCCGUGUGCGGGAUGACGGCCUUCGGGUUGUAAACCGCUUUCGCUCAUGACGAAGCUUUGUGUGACGGUAGUGGGUAAAGAAGCACCGGCUAACUACGUG